GAUGAACGCUGACAGAAUGCUUAACACAUGCAAGUCAUUGGCGAAGCUGCGCUUGCGCAGUCUAGCCAAGGCGGACGGGUGAGUAACGCGUAAGGAACUUGCCCUGCAGACAUGGAUAACAGACGGAAACGACUGAUAACACCUGGUAUUGUCAGGCUGGCGCAUGCCGGCCUGAUGAAAGGAGACGCUGCAGGAGAGCCUUGCGUCCUAUUAGCUAGUUGGUGGGGUAACGGCCCACCAAGGCGAUGAUAGGUAGCCGGCCUGAGAGGGUGAACGGCCACAAGGGGACUGAGAUACGGCCCUUACUCCUACGGGAGGCAGCAGUGGGGAAUAUUGGACAAUGGGGGCAACCCUGAUCCAGCAAUUCUGUGUGCACGAAGAAGGUUUUCGGAUUGUAAAGUGCUUUCAGCAGGGAAGAAGAAAGUGACGGUACCUGCAGAAGAAGCGACGGCUAAAUACGUG
rnacentral:rRNA from 1 species